GGUUAAGCGACUAAGCGUACACGGUGGAUGCCCUGGCAGUCAGAGGCGAUGAAGGACGUGCUAAUCUGCGAUAAGCGUCGGUAAGGUGAUAUGAACCGUUAUAACCGGCGAUUUCCGAAUGGGGAAACCCAGUGUGUUUCGACACACUAUCAUUAACUGAAUCCAUAGGUUAAUGAGGCGAACCGGGGGAACUGAAACAUCUAAGUACCCCGAGGAAAAGAAAUCAACCGAGAUUCCCCCAGUAGCGGCGAGCGAACGGGAGCAGCCCAGAGCCUGAAUCAGUAUGUGUGUUAGUGGAAGCGUCUGGAAAGGCGCGCGAUACAGGGUGACAGCCCCGUACACAAAAAUGCACAUGCUGUGAGCUCGAUGAGUAGGGCGGGACACGUGGUAUCCUGUCUGAAUAUGGGGGGACCAUCCUCCAAGGCUAAAUACUCCUGACUGACCGAUAGUGAACCAGUACCGUGAGGGAAAGGCGAAAAGAACCCCGGCGAGGGGAGUGAAAAAGAACCUGAAACCGUGUACGUACAAGCAGUGGGAGCACGCUUAGGCGUGUGACUGCGUACCUUUUGUAUAAUGGGUCAGCGACUUAUAUUCUGUAGCAAGGUUAACCGAAUAGGGGAGCCGAAGGGAAACCGAGUCUUAACUGGGCGUUAAGUUGCAGGGUAUAGACCCGAAACCCGGUGAUCUAGCCAUGGGCAGGUUGAAGGUUGGGUAACACUAACUGGAGGACCGAACCGACUAAUGUUGAAAAAUUAGCGGAUGACUUGUGGCUGGGGGUGAAAGGCCAAUCAAACCGGGAGAUAGCUGGUUCUCCCCGAAAGCUAUUUAGGUAGCGCCUCGUGAAUUCAUCUCCGGGGGUAGAGCACUGUUUCGGCAAGGGGGUCAUCCCGACUUACCAACCCGAUGCAAACUGCGAAUACCGGAGAAUGUUAUCACGGGAGACACACGGCGGGUGCUAACGUCCGUCGUGAAGAGGGAAACAACCCAGACCGCCAGCUAAGGUCCCAAAGUCAUGGUUAAGUGGGAAACGAUGUGGGAAGGCCCAGACAGCCAGGAUGUUGGCUUAGAAGCAGCCAUCAUUUAAAGAAAGCGUAAUAGCUCACUGGUCGAGUCGGCCUGCGCGGAAGAUGUAACGGGGCUAAACCAUGCACCGAAGCUGCGGCAGCGACGCUUAUGCGUUGUUGGGUAGGGGAGCGUUCUGUAAGCCUGCGAAGGUGUGCUGUGAGGCAUGCUGGAGGUAUCAGAAGUGCGAAUGCUGACAUAAGUAACGAUAAAGCGGGUGAAAAGCCCGCUCGCCGGAAGACCAAGGGUUCCUGUCCAACGUUAAUCGGGGCAGGGUAAGUCGACCCCUAAGGCGAGGCCGAAAGGCGUAGUCGAUGGGAAACAGGUUAAUAUUCCUGUACUUGGUGUUACUGCGAAGGGGGGACGGAGAAGGCUAUGUUGGCCGGGCGACGGUUGUCCCGGUUUAAGCGUGUAGGCUGGUUUUCCAGGCAAAUCCGGAAAAUCAAGGCUGAGGCGUGAUGACGAGGCACUACGGUGCUGAAGCAACAAAUGCCCUGCUUCCAGGAAAAGCCUCUAAGCAUCAGGUAACAUCAAAUCGUACCCCAAACCGACACAGGUGGUCAGGUAGAGAAUACCAAGGCGCUUGAGAGAACUCGGGUGAAGGAACUAGGCAAAAUGGUGCCGUAACUUCGGGAGAAGGCACGCUGAUAUGUAGGUGAAGUCCCUCGCGGAUGGAGCUGAAAUCAGUCGAAGAUACCAGCUGGCUGCAACUGUUUAUUAAAAACACAGCACUGUGCAAACACGAAAGUGGACGUAUACGGUGUGACGCCUGCCCGGUGCCGGAAGGUUAAUUGAUGGGGUCAGCGCAAGCGAAGCUCUUGAUCGAAGCCCCGGUAAACGGCGGCCGUAACUAUAACGGUCCUAAGGUAGCGAAAUUCCUUGUCGGGUAAGUUCCGACCUGCACGAAUGGCGUAAUGAUGGCCAGGCUGUCUCCACCCGAGACUCAGUGAAAUUGAACUCGCUGUGAAGAUGCAGUGUACCCGCGGCAAGACGGAAAGACCCCGUGAACCUUUACUAUAGCUUGACACUGAACAUUGAGCCUUGAUGUGUAGGAUAGGUGGGAGGCUUUGAAGUGUGGACGCCAGUCUGCAUGGAGCCGACCUUGAAAUACCACCCUUUAAUGUUUGAUGUUCUAACGUUGACCCGUAAUCCGGGUUGCGGACAGUGUCUGGUGGGUAGUUUGACUGGGGCGGUCUCCUCCUAAAGAGUAACGGAGGAGCACGAAGGUUGGCUAAUCCUGGUCGGACAUCAGGAGGUUAGUGCAAUGGCAUAAGCCAGCUUGACUGCGAGCGUGACGGCGCGAGCAGGUGCGAAAGCAGGUCAUAGUGAUCCGGUGGUUCUGAAUGGAAGGGCCAUCGCUCAACGGAUAAAAGGUACUCCGGGGAUAACAGGCUGAUACCGCCCAAGAGUUCAUAUCGACGGCGGUGUUUGGCACCUCGAUGUCGGCUCAUCACAUCCUGGGGCUGAAGUAGGUCCCAAGGGUAUGGCUGUUCGCCAUUUAAAGUGGUACGCGAGCUGGGUUUAGAACGUCGUGAGACAGUUCGGUCCCUAUCUGCCGUGGGCGCUGGAGAACUGAGGGGGGCUGCUCCUAGUACGAGAGGACCGGAGUGGACGCAUCACUGGUGUUCGGGUUGUCAUGCCAAUGGCACUGCCCGGUAGCUAAAUGCGGAAGAGAUAAGUGCUGAAAGCAUCUCUAAGCACGAAACUUGCCCCGAGAUGAGUUCUCCCUGACUCCUUGAGAGUCCUGAAGGAACGUUGAAGACGACGACGUUGAUAGGCCGGGUGUGUAAGCGCAGCGAUGCGUUGAGCUAACCGGUACUAAUGAACCGUGAGGCUUAACCUU
rnacentral:rRNA from 1 species